rnacentral:misc_RNA from 1 species
UGUAUUAAGGAAUCGUUGAAGGAGCUAUAUCCAAUAUCUUAUGAGAACAAGAUAUUGGGUAUAGCUCCCCCGCCAAUGAAUAACAAGUAUCCAUUUUUUUAUUCCAAAUUAACGACGAGAUUUAUUAUCGUUUCUCGCAUGUCUCGCGAAAGUCAGAGUAGGCGCGAAUUCUCCCAAUUUGUGACCUACCAUACGAUCUGUUAUAUAAAUAGGUAAAUGUUCCUUUCCAUUAUGAAUAGCGAUUGUAUGGCCAAUCAUUUUGGGUAUAAUAGUAGAUGCCCGAGACCAAGUUACUAUUAUUUCUUUCUCCUCCCUCAUGUUGAGUUUUUCAAUUUUUUUUUCCAUUUUAAAGAUUGCCAUUCUAUGUCCAAUAGAAUAUCUCGAUCUAAGUAUGAAGGUAAGAAAUAAAUACCAUAAUGAUGAAAGGGAAAAAAGAAAAAAUCCUUU